rnacentral:lncRNA from 1 species
GCUCUAUUUAAAGCAUCAGAAAGCCCAGCCAUGCAGCAGCAGGCUCAAAUAUUAAAUCAGUUCUAUUUAGACACACAAGAGAGGAAUGGCAAAAACAGAGGCAAUACCAUACACCAAUUAUAUUGUCCCCAUCCUUCUACUGAUUGGCUGGAUUGUGGGUUGUGUACUCAUGGUUUACUUUGUCUUCUCUUAAAAGAGGGUAAGUGAUUCCUAUCUUGUCUGUAGCACGUAGAGUGAAUUAUGCACCACAGAUGUUGUUAGUACAAUUUAUUAACUCUUAUUUCUGUUAUUCAGGAAAGAAGCCUUUGCAAAGGAGCUUGUAAACUUGAUGAAGAUGUCCAUCUCUCAUUUUAAAAAUAUGCAGUGGAAACAAUACUUCCAUAUUAAUAAAAUAAAGUCUUGAGACA